rnacentral:rRNA from 1 species
AGCAUAUCAAUAAGCGGAGGAAAAGAAACCAACAGGGAUUGCCCUAGUAACGGCGAGUGAAGCGGCAACAGCUCAAAUUUGAAAUCUGGCGCAAGCCCGAGUUGUAAUUUGUAGAGGAUGCUUCUGGGUAGCGACCGAUCUAAGUUCCUUGGAACAGGACGUCAUAGAGGGUGAGAAUCCCGUAUGUGACCGGCCCGCACCCUUUACGUAGCUCCUUCGACGAGUCGAGUUGUUUGGGAAUGCAGCUCUAAAUGGGAGGUAAAUUUCUUCUAAAGCUAAAUACCGGCCAGAGACCGAUAGCGCACAAGUAGAGUGAUCGAAAGAUGAAAAGUACUUUGGAAAGAGAGUUAAAAAGCACGUGAAAUUGUUGAAAGGGAAGCGCCUGCAACCAGACUUCGCGGCAGUGUUCCGCCGGUCUUCUGACCGGUUCAUUCUCUGUCGCGAGGCCAUCAUCGUCUGGGCCCGCCGGAUAAGACCUUAGGAAUGUAGCUCACCUUCGGGGGAGUGUUAUAGCCUAUGGUGAUGCGGCGAGGCUCGGGCGAGGUCCGCGCUUCGGCAAGGAUGAUGGCGUAAUGGUUGUCGGCGGCCCGUCUUGAAACACGGACCAAGGAGUCUAACAUCUAUGCGAGUGUUCGGGUGUCAAACCCCUACGCGUAAUGAAAGUGAACGGAGGUGGGAACCGCAAGGUGCACCAUCGACCGAUCCUGAUGUCCUCGGAUGGAUUUGAGUAAGAGCAUAGCUGUUGGGACCCGAAAGAUGGUGAACUAUGCCUGAAUAGGGUGAAGCCAGAGGAAACUCUGGUGGAGGCUCGCAGCGGUUCUGACGUGCAAAUCGAUCGUCAAAUUUGGGUAUAGGGGCGAAAGACUAAUCGAACCAU